rnacentral:rRNA from 1 species
AUGCAAGUCGAACGAUGAAGCCCAGCUUGCUGGGUGGAUUAGUGGCGAACGGGUGAGUAACACGUGAGUAACCUGCCCUUGACUCUGGGAUAAGCCCGGGAAACUGGGUCUAAUACCGGAUAGGAGCGCCUGUCGCAUGACGGGUGCUGGAAAGAUUUUUCGGUCAUGGAUGGACUCGCGGCCUAUCAGCUUGUUGGUGAGGUAAUGGCUCACCAAGGCGACGACGGGUAGCCGGCCUGAGAGGGUGACCGGCCACACUGGGACUGAGACACGGCCCAGACUCCUACGGGAGGCAGCAGUGGGGAAUAUUGCACAAUGGGCGGAAGCCUGAUGCAGCGACGCCGCGUGAGGGAUGACGGCCUUCGGGUUGUAAACCUCUUUCAGUAGGGAAGAAGCGAAAGUGACGGUACCUGCAGAAGAAGCACCGGCUAACUACGUGCCAGCAGCCGCGGUAAUACGUAGGGUGCGAGCGUUAUCCGGAAUUAUUGGGCGUAAAGAGCUCGUAGGCGGUUUGUCGCGUCUGUCGUGAAAGUCCGGGGCUUAACCCCGGAUCUGCGGUGGGUACGGGCAGACUAGAGUGCAGUAGGGGAGACUGGAAUUCCUGGUGUAGCGGUGGAAUGCGCAGAUAUCAGGAGGAACACCGAUGGCGAAGGCAGGUCUCUGGGCUGUAACUGACGCUGAGGAGCGAAAGCAUGGGGAGCGAACAGGAUUAGAUACCCUGG